GACGAACGCUGGCGGCGUGCUUAACACAUGCAAGUCGAGCGGAAAGGCCCUUUCGGGGGUACUCGAGCGGCGAGCGGGUGAGUAACACGUGAGUAAUCUGCCCUUGGCUUUGGAUAAGACCCGGAAACGGGGUCUAAUACCGGAUACGACCAACCUCUGCAUGGGGUGUUGGUGGAAAGUCUUUUCGGCCAGGGAUGUGCUCGCGGCCUAUCAGCUUGUUGGUGGGGUAAUGGCCUACCAAGGCUUUGACGGGUAGCCGGCCUGAGAGGGUGAGCGGCCACACUGGGACUGAGACACGGCCCAGACUCCUACGGGAGGCAGCAGUGGGGAAUAUUGGACAAUGGGCGGAAGCCUGAUCCAGCAACGCCGCGUGAGGGAUGACGGCCUUCGGGUUGUAAACCUCUUUCAGUACCGACGAAGCGCCGAUGAUGGUGGUGACGGUAGGUACAGAAGAAGCACCGGCCAACUACGUGCCAGCCGCCGCGGUAACAC
rnacentral:rRNA from 1 species